GACCCCGUGGCGUAAUGGUAGCGCGUGAGAUUCCAACUGGAAUGUGUCGAGCACCAUCUUGGUGCGAGGAUGUUUCCUCAAGGUUGUCCGUUCGAUUCGGGCCGGGGUCG